rnacentral:tRNA from 1 species
AUUUUUAUAGUUGAAUUAACAACGAUAGUUUUUCAGAUUAUAGGUCUUAGUUGAAGUCUAAGUAAAAGUAA